GUAGGUGGCAAGCGUUGUCCGGAAUUAUUGGGCGUAAAGCGCGCGCAGGCGGUUCUUUAAGUCUGAUGUGAAAGCCCACGGCUCAACCGUGGAGGGUCAUUGGAAACUGGAGAACUUGAGUACAGAAGAGGAAAGCGGAAUUCCACGUGUAGCGGUGAAAUGCGUAGAGAUGUGGAGGAACACCAGUGGCGAAGGCGGCUUUCUGGUCUGUAACUGACGCUGAGGGCGCGAAAGCGUGGGGAGCAAACAGGAUUAGAUACCCUGGUAGUCCCACGCCCGUAAACGAUGAGUGCUAAGUGUUACGGGGGUUUUCCGCCCCUUAGUGCUGCAGCUAACGCAUUAAGCACUCCGCCUGGGAGUACGGCGCAAGGCUG
rnacentral:rRNA from 1 species